UACGGAGGAUGCGAGCGUUAUCCGGAUUUAUUGGGUUUAAAGGGUGCGUAGGCGGAAUAUCAAGUCAGCGGUAAAAAUUCGGGGCUCAACCCCGUCGUGCCGUUGAAACUGAUGUUCUUGAGUGGGCGAGAAGUAUGCGGAAUGCGUGGUGUAGCGGUGAAAUGCAUAGAUAUCACGCAGAACUCCGAUUGCGAAGGCAGCAUACCGGCGCCCAACUGACGCUGAAGCACGUAAGCGUGGGUAUCGAACAGG
rnacentral:rRNA from 1 species